rnacentral:rRNA from 1 species
CCAUGUCCAGGUUGAAGUCGCCGUAAAAGGCGAUGGAGGACCGAACGCACAUCCGUUGAAAAGGGUGGCGAUGAGGUGUGGGUAGGGGAGAAAUUCCAAUCGAACCCGGAGAUAGCUGGUUCUCCUCGAAAUAGCUUUAGGGCUAGCCUCGUAUUAGUCUUGCGGAGGUAGAGCACUGAAUAUCCUAGGGGGCGUCAAAGCUUACCGAAGAUUAUCAAACUCCGAAUGCCGCGUAGAUGAUGUACGGGAGUCAGACUGCACGAGAUAAGUUGGGUAGUCAAAAGGGAAAGAGCCCAGACCACCAGCUAAGGUCCCAAAGUGCGUGUUAAGUGGUAAAGGAUGUGGGAUUUCGAAGACAACUAGGAUGUUGGCUCAGAAGCAGCCAUACAUUCAAAGAGUGCGUAAUAGCUCACUAGUCGAGAGGUCCUGCGCCGAAAAUGUCCGGGGCUAAAACACGACACCGAAGCUGUGGAUCCGAAAGGAUGGUAGAGGAGCAUUCUUAAGUCGACGAAGCUGUACUGUAAGGAGCAGUGGAGAGUUAAGAAGAGAGAAUGCCGGAAUGAGUAGCGAGAUUUAAGUGAGAAUCUUAAAGGCCGAAUAUCUAAGGUUUCCAGGGUAAAGCUGAUCUUCCCUGGGUAAGUCGGGGCCUAAGGCGAGGGCGAGAGCCGUAGUCGAUGGAUAACAGGUUGAAAUUCCUGUACUGCUUAUGGACAGAACUGUGGGGACGCAGAAGGAGAGCACGAGCCGGAAAUGGAAAAGCCGGUACAAGCGUAUAGCAGUCAUGCAGGCAAAACCGCAUGAAAAAUGUAAAGCGUUAUGUGGAUCGAACAUUAGUAGAGAAGCGUGUGAGCCAGCUGCCAAGAAAAGCCGCUAUUGUUUCAUAAGUACCCGUACCGUAAACCGACACAGGUGGAUGAGGAGAGAAUCCUAAGGCCGGCGGGAGAAGUGUUGUUAAGGAACUCGGCAAAAUGACUCCGUAACUUCGGGAGAAGGAGUGCCACAGAGAUGUGGCCGCAGAGAAAUGGCCCAAGCAACUGUUUAGCAAAAACACAGGUCUAUGCAAAACCGAAAGGUGAGGUAUAUGCUGACGCCUGCCCGGUGCUGGAAGGUUAAGAGGAGAGGUUAGAGCAAUCGAAGCUUUGAAUUUAAGCCCCAGUAAACGGCGGCCGUAACUAUAACGGUCCUAAGGUAGCGAAAUUCCUUGUCGGGUAAGUUCCGACCCGCACGAAAGGCGUAAUGAUUUGGGCACUGUCUCAACAACACACCCGGUGAAAUUGAAAUACCAGUGAAGAUGCUGGUUACCUGCGCCAGGACGGAAAGACCCCAUGGAGCUUUACUCCAGUUUGAUACUGGGAUUCGGUACUGUCUGUACAGGAUAGGUGGGAGGCUAGGAAAUGGUGACGCCAGUUGCCAUGGAGCCAACCUUGGGAUACCACCCUUACAGUACUGGGUUUCUAACCUGCAGCCGUAACCCGGCUGGGGGACAAUGUCUGACGGGGAGUUUGACUGGGGCGGUCGCCUCCGAAAGAGUAUCGGAGGCGCUCAAAGGUUCCCUCAGAACGGUUGGAAACCGUUCGAAGAGUGCAAAGGCAGAAGGGAGCUUGACUGCGACACCGACGGGUGGAGCAGAUACGAAAGUAGGACUUAGUGAUCCGGUGGUAUAAAGUGGGAUUGCCAUCGCUCAACGGAUAAAAGCUACCCUGGGGAUAACAGGCUUAUCACUCCCAAGAGUUCACAUCGACGGAGUGGUUUGGCACCUCGAUGUCGGCUCAUCGCAUCCUGGAGCUGUAGCAGGUUCCAAGGGUUGGGCUGUUCGCCCAUUAAAGCGGUACGCGAGCUGGGUUCAGAACGUCGUGAGACAGUUCGGUCCCUAUCCGGCGUGGGCGUAGGAUAUUUGAGAGGAGCUGUCCUUAGUACGAGAGGACCGGGAUGGACAAACCUCUGGUGUAUCUGUUGUUUUACCAAAGGCAUGGCAGAGUAGCCAAGUUUGGCAGGGAUAAACGCUGAAGGCAUCUAAGCGUGAAGCCCCCCUCAAGAUAAGAUAUCCCAUCUUCGGAGUAAGACCCCUUGAAGACUACAAGGUUGAUAGGCUU